GACGAACGCUGGCGGCGUGCUUAACACAUGCAAGUCGAACGGGCCCGCUCUCUUUUUUGGGGGUGGGUUGAGUGGCGAACGGGUGAGUAUCACGUGAGUAACCUGCCCCCUGCUCCUGGAUAACUGCUUGAAAGGGCGGCUAAUACGGGGUGUGCCGGCUGGUCCGCAUGGGCCUGGUCGGGGUAGUUUCAUCUUCGGGUGUUUCGGUGGGGGAUGGGCUCGCGGCCUAUCAGCUUGUUGGUGGGGUGAUGGCCCACCAAGGCGGUGACGGGUAGCCGGCAUGAGAGGGUGGGCGGCCAGACUGGGACUGAGACCCGGCCCAGUGUCAUGCGGGAGGCAGCAGUGGGGGGUAUGGCACAAGGGGCGGAAGCCUGAUGCAGCGACGUCGCGUGAGGGAUGGAGGCCUUCGGGUUGUGAACCUAUUUCUCCGGUGGGGAAGGCCCUGUCCGUUGCGGCGGGGUUGACGGUAGCCGGGUAUGAAGCGCCGGCUAACUACGUG
rnacentral:rRNA from 1 species